GGACAAUGAUUUAAAUACGAACAGGUAAGUUUUGUUAAGAAUACCGAAAUGAUGUAAUGAAUGUCUAUGCAAGUAAGCAUGAAUGGAAAGAAGUACGAAGAGUACCUCAAUACAUCUAUGGUAAGUAAGAAAUGACAGCCUGACCUGGAAAGGGUCAAACUGCAAAGGUUGAUGAAAUGAGGAACCAGAAUAAAAGAAUUGCAUGUAAGGAAUGAAAUGCGGAAUGUGUUAAAGUUUGUACGUAGGACGUUGAAAAAGGAAAUAUAGGUGAGUAAUCACCUAGUAUAAUGAAUGCUUGAAUGAAAUGUGCUAACCGCAAAAAUUGUAGAUUAUAAUGUUAGGAACUCUUGAUGUGAUGAAACCAAACGAAUUGGUGGAAGGAUGUGCACGGGCGAAAGCGCAUUACGCGGAUGAAUGAAAUCUAGCCUGGUAUGACUAGUACUCGUGAAGAAUGCGGAUCGAUCUGGGUUGCAGAUCGUCGAUGGAUGAUAUGAGAUGAGGUCAGUAAAAAGUUUAACUUAUGUUAGAUAAGUAUGAAUUGGUUAAUUGGGUACGACCUACGAAAUGAAUGAUGGAAUGGGUAUGGUAUAAUAUGGGAAGUUUGAUUUUUUUUAUUUUAUUUUAGCUGACUAUAGAAGAGUAGAAUGAGCUAACUAUGGAGUUAAGCAUGUAGGUGUAACUAUGAAGUAGUAGUUUUGUUGAGAUAACAAAACAAGGACUGAAUGCUAUAUGAUGUAUAUGAAUAGAAUGUAAAUCUUAAAAGAUGAGAUGGAGACAUUAAGUCUUUUAUAAUCGGGUCAAUGAAAUGAGGAUGGUAGGUGAAAGUAUGGUAUGAAAAGUAUAGACUUGUUAGAAAGAAGUCGGUAAUGUGAAUAAUAUAUGAGUAAAGAAUGGAUAGUUUACCUAUUAUUAUGAUGUACCUAUCAAAUUAAGCAUAGAAGAGGUAUGUGUAAAUGAUGAAUUUAGAUCGCAUAGUCAACAAGAUGAUAUGAAAUUUGAAAUAAACAGGAAGGAAUGUUAUUAUUAGGAUGUUAGAAUUGUUUCAAGCAAACAAAAUAUAUGGCACAUGAUAUACGAAUAUUAUAAUGAUGAAUGAACCUUUAGUUAAGAAGUAUGUUAGAAGCUAGCAUUUUUAGUGAAAGCGACACUAAUAAGAGCUCUGGGGCGGGUUCUUGAAGAUAUAAGAUUGUCAAUGAGAUGGGCUGGUGGUCGUGUCGAUGAACUGAAAGACAAGGUGAUUAGUAUCAAACGAAAGUGAGGAAGGUAACUAGUAUUCGAUGGAAAAUGAGAAAGGUUUCGGGGACGAAACCUCAUUUAAGGGGGGUAGACUUGUAACACCCCAAAAACCCGAAUUUUUAUAUUCGUUAAAUGUUAUAAUAUGGCACAUCAAGAAAUAAAUAACUAGGUUAUUUAACCUAGUUAAAAGUAUGGUAGAAGCAAUUAAAGGAUGAGUGUUGUGCCAAUUAUGAAUAAGAGAGAACAUGAGGGACUAAGAUUGCCAAACUUGAAUCUGAGUUUAAUUAAAACAAAAAAAAAAUCUCAGACACACUAGGUGUGUGCGUGAGAUCGAUCAGGAGGAGGAGAAAAUGGGUGUAAACCCUAGUUCACAAGCAAGCUACAAAUUGACAAGGAGAUUAGGCUCAAAUCCGAUGCAUGAACUCGUUUUCUUGACAAUCUAUCCCUAGCAAGCAUGUGGAGUCAUGUCAAGACGGACUCAAGCAUGAAAGGCUAACGGGUCAAGAGGAGGCAAGGAAUCGGAUACGAACCCGGAUGCACAAGGUAGUACGAGUCAUGAGGAUCAUCAAGGAACAGAGAUCGAGGA